GACGAACGCUGGCGGCGUGCUUAACACAUGCAAGUCGAACGGAAAGGCCCUGCUUUUGUGGGGUGCUCGAGUGGCGAACGGGUGAGUAACACGUGAGUAACCUGCCCUUGACUUUGGGAUAACUUCAGGAAACUGGGGCUAAUACCGGAUAGGAGCUCCUGCUGCAUGGUGGGGGUUGGAAAGUUUCGGCGGUUGGGGAUGGACUCGCGGCUUAUGAGCUUGUUGGUGGGGUAGUGGCUGACCAAGGCUUUGACGGGUAGCCGGCCUGAGAGGGUGACCGGCCACAUUGGGACUGAGAUACGGCCCAGACUCCUACGGUAGGCAGCAGUGGGGAAUAUUGCACAAUGGGCGGAAGCCUGAUGCAGCAACGCCGCGUGCGGGAUGACGGCCUUCGGGUUGUAAACCGCUUUCGCCUGUGACGAAGCGUGAGUGACGGUAAUGGGUAAAGAAGCACCGGCUAACUACGUG
rnacentral:rRNA from 1 species